GCUUGAUAUGCUGAUUCUUUACUUUUCAUUUCUACAUUUGAUAGUGCCUGCUUUACUUGGUUAAUGAUCUUUGGCUCAACUGGAACUGGCGGAGACUCCAUGACUGGCAAAUCCUUGAUGUUAUUUAAGAAGUGCUUCUCCCAUGGUGCCAAUAUCAAUAAGCCUUUCCCUUCCUUGCCUUUUCGUCCAGUUCUACCAAGU
rnacentral:misc_RNA from 1 species